UGGGGAAUUUUGGACAAUUGGGCGAAAGCCUGAUCCAGCAAUGCCGCGUGUGUGAAGAAGGCCUUCGGGUUGUAAAGCACUUUUGUCCGGAAAGAAAUCCUUGGCUCUAAUACAGUCGGGGGAUGACGGUACCGGAAGAAUAAGCACCGGCUAACUACGUGCCAGCAGCCGCGGUAAUACGUAGGGUGCAAGCGUUAAUCGGAAUUACUGGGCGUAAAGCGUGCGCAGGCGGUUUGCUAAGACCGAUGUGAAAUCCCCGGGCUCAACCUGGGAACUGCAUUGGUGACUGGCAGGCUAGAGUAUGGCAGAGGGGGGUAGAAUUCCACGUGUAGCAGUGAAAUGCGUAGAGAUGUGGAGGAAUACCGAUGGCGAAGGCAGCCCCCUGGGCCAAUACUGACGCUCAUGCACGAAAGCGUGGGGAGCAAACAGGAUUAGAUACCCUGGUAGUCCACGCCCUAAACGAUGUCAACUAGUUGUUGGGGAUUCAUUUCCUUAGUAACUAGCUAACGCGUGAAGUUGACCGCCUGGGGAGUACGGUCGCAAGAUUAAAACUCAAAUGAAUUGNCGGGGUCAUAGCUG
rnacentral:rRNA from 1 species